rnacentral:piRNA from 1 species
UGUAAACUCAAGUUCACACCACAUGGCU